UAUACCCAUCACUUUAUAAGCCGGAUCACCACUGCUAGGUCUCAUUUUGUUCGUUUCGUUUGCGACAGACAGCUACAUUCAAAAAAUAAAAUAUGAAAUCGAUAAUCCCACUGUGUCUACUUGCCCUGUCUGUGGCCCAGGACACCCAGGAUGAAGAGGGUGAACAUCUUCCGUACACACAUGGAAUUGGUAGUGCUAGUUUUUAAUGUAAAGCGCGAGUAUUGCCGUCAAGUACAAACCCAGAUAUUGUGUGUCAUAAAAACAUCUCCAGUACUGUAUAAAUGAAAUCUGAGUGGCUUUUUAAUUCGCAUAAUUUGGAAAUUCAGUUUUGAGCGUUGUCUUAUUGUGAACAGUGUUAUGUGUACGAAGUAAAUGCAACGAUUGAUUAUUACCGCGAGACUGAGUCAAACACUACCUCCCACCAUUUUGUCUUCAACGAAAACGGCACCAUGUAUGAAGCUGAUGGCUAUAUCAUAAACGAAGACAGCGACGGUGAACACCUGAAAGUAUUUGGUUUAGUUUAUUCCUGGGACGCAGUACAAAUAUCAUCCCAUUUUGAGGAUUACUACCGCCAGUAUUUUGAAGAUAAGAAGGGAUAUACACCUAAUCUCAAAAGGGAAUGCUCAAUAAUUUUGGGUGAUCAUAUCAGACUUCUUCAAAGUAUUGUCACAAAACUUGUUGGCAGUAAAUAGAUGCAGUUU